GAGAGGUCUCGAGGUCGGACGACCACAUGAGACAAUCCGCACGGCCCAGGUCGCUCCCCCGAGUAAACAAAAGCUGGAGAAGCCCGCCGAAAAGGCCGGCGGAAGAGUCUCAAGGUCGGAUGACCACACGGGACAAUCCGCACGGCCCAGGCCGCUUCCCCAAGCAAACGCAAAUCGGAAAAGCCCGCCGAAAAGGCCAACGGAAGGUCCCCGGUGCCGAAAGGCCACACGGGAACGUCCGAGAGGCCCAG
rnacentral:lncRNA from 1 species